UUGAACUAUGAUAUUGAUUUUUGACAUACAUUAUAUUUUUCCAACACCUUAAUAUCCUCAACUUAGGUCACAAGCAAAUGUUACCAAGUUCGGCACCCCUAAUGAUUUUUUUUUUACUAAAACAAAAUAUUCAUUCAAAUUGAUAGAUACAUCAAAUACUAGCACAAAUUCAAUAUCACUAAAAAUGUAAAGGAUGAAUUUGCGAACAAACUCACAACAUCCAAGUUAAUAGCAUAAAACGGCAUACUCAAGCCUACAAAUAAUAUGACAAAAUAAAGUAACCGAAAUCCUCAUGUCUCUGGAUCUUCAUCGUUGAUGACCUUGUCAUUGAUUGAAUCACUAGUUAAUCAAAGUUGAUCU
rnacentral:lncRNA from 1 species